rnacentral:rRNA from 1 species
GAUGAACGCUGGCGGCGUGCCUAAUACAUGCAAGUCGAGCGAACGGACGAGAAGCUUGCUUCUCUGAUGUUAGCGGCGGACGGGUGAGUAACACGUGGAUAACCUACCUAUAAGACUGGGAUAACUUCGGGAAACCGGAGCUAAUACCGGAUAAUAUUUUGAACCGCAUGGUUCAAAAGUGAAAGACGGUCUUGCUGUCACUUAUAGACGGAUCCGCGCUGCAUUAGCUAGUUGGUAAGGUAACGGCUUACCAAGGCAACGAUGCAUAGCCGACCUGAGAGGGUGAUAGGCCACACUGGACCUAGGACACGGUCCAGACCCCAAGGGGAGGCAGCAGGAGGAAAUCUGCCGCAAGGGGCGAAAGCUUAACGGGGCAUCGCCGCGUGGGUGAUGAAGGUCUCCGGAUCGUAAACCUCUGUUAUUAGGGAAAAACAUAUGUGUAAGUAACUGUGCACAUCUGAACGGUCCCUAAUCAGAAGGCCACGGUAAACUCCGG